rnacentral:lncRNA from 1 species
CCAAACAAAAAAAAUUUUAUUUCAGUACAUAGUAAUUCCUUGGGUACAUUUUACGUCCGUUUUCUUGUCUUUUCCCUUGAUUAUCCAUUCUGUUAGCAUUUCCCUCCUUUGACUAUCAGGAAAAGCAACAGUUUAUGCUAACAAUGCAUGCUAACGGUGCCAACAGUGCUGGCCUGUGGAAACACUGGUUUUAAACCCUAUGCAGCAUAAUGUCAUUUGAAUAACGGCAACCAGAAACUUCUCUUACAGUCUUCGAAUCUUCCUUUGAAGGUUGUAUUUUGUAAUUAGGGACUGAAUUUUUUCGUGAGUGGAGGCAAUUAUUAAUGAGCAAAGUUUGGAGUCUGCCUAUCACCCUAAUUCUGCAUAAAGUCAAGACACACCUUCUAAAAGUCUUUACCGUUGCUCACAACAUUCCAUACCAUGCUGUUCAGCUUAAAAACACACUACUAACCUGCUCUGUCUGGUUUGAAAUGUUUUCAAUUUACACACAAAUACAGAUCGCCCUGAAUUUGUGAAUGUAUUUCUACCUUCGUUAAAAAAGAAGACUAAAAGAAUAUGGAAUCCCUAAUUCACAUUUAGUUCGCCUAGGAAAACUAGCAGUUAGUGAAAAACUGGCCACAUCACAGCCGCACAGCUCCAGCAGCCCGGGUAGCUUCCCCACCCUCACUUUCUCCAGCCCCGCCUCCAGGACGGCCUAACCGCUUUCCUCAUAGCUCAUUGGGCGCGCGGCACCACCGGGCGGCAACUCCAGGGAUCCGCCCCUGGGCCCGCCCCUCCAUCGCCCGGGGCUGGGGUUGGGCAACCGUCCGCCCUUUUUCUAGACCGCGCGCAUGCGCACUCUCCUUGGACCCUGGAGAGACGCUUAGGGAUCAGUUUUCUCCUCCUUUCUUCCCGCGAUCGCGCGGCUCUCUGGAAGCCUUCCCACUCUAUUAUUGCCGAGGAUCCCCCUCCUAGACACUCUGAGAAGGCAUCAAGCAUGAUGGAACCAUGUGUGAUACCUGCCGCCAGCAACCAAUCAUUGGCAUUCGAUGGAAGUGUGCAGAGUGUACAAAUUAUGAUUUGUGCACAGUGUGUUAUCAUGGAGAUAAACAUCAUUUAAGACAUCGCUUUUACCGAAUUACUACACCGGGAAGUGAGAGGGUUCUGUUAGAGUCUCGUAGGAAAUCUAAGAAGAUUACAGCCAGAGG